UAGCUGCUCCCUCUUGUUCUCCGGGUCCGCGUCGUUCACGGUGGCCCCGAUGGCUCUCUGGGGCGCCGCCCUGUGGCUCCUACGGCCCGGGGGGAGGGGUGCCCUGUUGGCUUGGCCCUGCCUUGCCGUGAUUGCUGUUCUGGGCUUCGGGGUCUUUCACACUUGCAUGUUUGAUCAGGUCUCGCCAGCCACUGCCGAGUCCCAUUGUCAGCGAAUGAUGGGACCCGCCAGAAUGUGCUGAGAAUCUCUCCAGAGUCUCUACCCUAAACUCUUCUCUCCUUCACUAGUAUCCUCUUCUGGCCUAUUCUAUUCCAUCCUAUUCUAUACUGUCAAGACAUCCACAAUUAUGGUGCUCAGUACUACUUGUUUAUUUAUUUAUUGAAUCUCUUUUUCUUUUGUGUUGGUUUUCUUUUUUUUAGUUAAUUUUUUUUCUUUCUUUCUGUUUUAUUGAUGGGCAGUUAGUAGUUGGGAAUAACACACCACCUUACAAUCUUUAAUUGCCAUAGCACCACCUGUUAUUUUCUAUCCCUUUUCAUCCUGUUCGUCCUGUUCGUCCUGUCCAGUCUUUGUUUCCCCCACACAUCACUGAGGUGUAGCACUGCCCUCCCUGGCUCAUCAUAGGGAAUUCUAAUAAAGAAUAUCUGCUUGGCUUUCAGGGAGGGCCGGUGAUGGUCACACACUAAAUAUUAAAAUAUUUGGCUGCAAGACUAAAAUAUGCAUCAAUCUCAUACAAUGUUGACACCUCUUUUGUGGAGUUAAACAAUGAGAACAAAUGCAGACAAAAAAAAGAAAAAAAAGCAAAAAAAAAAGCAGAAAGACGAAACGGGGAACUGUUAGCCUACCUUAGCACAAAAACUGUAAACAGGUUAGAACUGUUAGCCUAGUUUAGCAAAGACUGAAAACAGGUGGAACUGUUAGCCUAGCUUACCACACAGACUGGAAACAGGGGGAGCUGUUAGCCUAGCUUAGCACAAAGACUGGAAACAGGUUAGAAAUGUUAGCGUAUAUUCGUAAAG
ensembl:lncRNA